GUGUACACAGGAAAUGGCAGUGAAAGACCCCCAAAGGGAGACCCUCACUCAAGCCUCGGGACAACCGCGGACCCAAGAAGACACUGAGACCG
rnacentral:pre_miRNA from 7 species